UCCGAAAAGACUAGUCGAUGCAUAAACAGAGUGAAAAUCCCUGUACUAUCCUUACGAGAACCGUGCGGACCCAGGCAGAGGAGUUGAGCCGGGAAUGGAAAGACCGGUACAAGCGAGAGUAGAAGAAGAGCUGCCAAUCGCUUCUCCAAUCUGAAGACGUGAUGUGGACCGAAAAGAAGUAGGGAAGCACGUGAGCUGACUGUCAAGAAAAGCCGCUAUUGUUUGCAGGAUACCCGUACCGUAAACCGACACAGGUGGAUGAGGAGAGAAUCCUAAGGCCGACGGGAGAAGCAUUGUUAAGGAACUCGGCAAAAUGACUCCGUAACUUCGGGAGAAGGAGUGCCAGUAAGAUGGCCGCAGAGAAUUGGCCCAAGCAACUGUUUAGCAAAAACACAGGUCUAUGCAAAACCGAAAGGUGAGGUAUAUGGGCUGACGCCUGCCCGGUGCUGGAAGGUUAAGGGGAGAGGUUAGCCGUAAGGCGAAGCUUUGAACUUAAGCCCCAGUAAACGGCGGCCGUAACUAUAACGGUCCUAAGGUAGCGAAAUUCCUUGUCGGGUAAGUUCCGACCCGCACGAAAGGCGUAAUGAUUUGGGCACUGUCUCAACAAUGCACCCGGUGAAAUUGAAAUACCAGUGAAGAUGCUGGUUACCUGCGCCAGGACGGAAAGACCCCAUGGAGCUUUACUCCAGCUUGAUACUGGGAUUCGGUAUUGUAUGUACAGGAUAGGUGGGAGGCUUAGAAGUGGUUACGCCAGUAGCCAUGGAGCCGCUGUUGGGAUACCACCCUUGCAGUACUGGGUUUCUAACCAGCAGCCGUGACCCGGCUGGGGGACAAUGUCAGGUGGGGAGUUUGACUGGGGCGGUCGCCUCCGAAAGGGUAUCGGAGGCGCUCAAAGGUUCCCUCAGAAUGGUUGGAAACCAUUCGAAGAGUGCAAAGGCAGAAGGGAGCUUGACUGCGACACCGACGGGUGGAGCAGGUACGAAAGUAGGACUUAGUGAUCCGGUGGUAUAAAGUGGGAUUGCCAUCGCUCAACGGAUAAAAGCUACCCUGGGGAUAACAGGCUUAUCACUCCCAAGAGUUCACAUCGACGGAGUGGUUUGGCACCUCGAUGUCGGCUCAUCGCAUCCUGGGGCUGAAGUAGGUCCCAAGGGUUGGGCUGUUCGCCCAUUAAAGCGGUACGCGAGCUGGGUUCAGAACGUCGUGAGACAGUUCGGUCCCUAUCCGGCGUGGGCGUAAGAUAUUUGAGAGGAGCUGUCCUUAGUACGAGAGGACCGGGAUGGACUGGCCGCUGGUGUAUCUGUUGUCUUACCAAAGGCAUAGCAGAGUAGCCAAGCCGGGAAGGGAUAAACGCUGAAGGCAUCUAAGCGUGAAGCCCCCCUCAAGAUGAGAUAUCUCAUAACGUCAAGUUAGUAAGACCCCUUGAAGACGACGAGGUAGAUAGGGCAGAGGUGGAAGUGUGGUAACACAUGGAGCUGACUGUUACUAAUAGGUCGAGGGCAUAACCA
rnacentral:rRNA from 1 species